rnacentral:rRNA from 1 species
UACGUAGGGGGCAAGCGUUGUCCGGAUUUAUUGGGCGUAAAGAGCGUGUAGGCGGCCUGACAGGUCUGCUGUGAAAACUCGAGGCUCAACCUCGAGAUGUCGGCGGAAACCGUCUGGCUAGAGUCCGGAAGAGGAGAGUGGAAUUCCUGGUGUAACGGUGAAAUGCGCAGAUAUCAGGAGGAACACCGGUGCGAAGGCGGGU